CUGAUGUCCUAAGCGGCAGUCUGAAUUAUCCACAGGGAUAGGUGGCAGCGAGAGUGGCCACCAGGAUGCUGGGCUGGACCACACCCAUUUCCAGGAGUCCUGCUUUGUACCUGACUUCUCAGGGCCAGCCUGCCUCCAUCAGGAUGACAAAACCCUGCACAGAGCCACAGGGAGCCAUCAGGGAGGGUGUCACGGCCUCGGCUCUCCGCCGGCUCCCCACUACUCACCUUGCACGUGGACCUGCCGGGGAGGCUGCAUUUGUGGAUGCUGGGGACCCACUCACCCUGCACGUGAACCUGCAGUGGGAGGCUGUGUUUUUGGAUGCUGGGGAUUGCUGUAGCAGCCGUGCACCAAUACGAUCCCGAGUCUUCUCUCCAGAUGGUUGUGAUCUGCAGUUCUGGGGACCUGCUCCAGUCUGACAGCAUGACCCCACGGUCUCUGAAGAAGGAUUUAGUCUCCUGCCCCAGGCUCACUCUUUCCUUCCAACUCCUUAUGACCUGCUUCAGAGUCAAUUCGUAAAUCAUAAGUCCCAAACACACCAACUCGACACCUAUGUGACACUCAGGAGAGGUACAUCGUAUAAGGAUUCUAACGCAGAGACGAAGAGCGCAUGGGAUGUAACAACACCCCAACAUUGUUGAACAC
rnacentral:lncRNA from 1 species